UUUUACACACGUAUGUGAACCCGUGUGCAUGCACACACCAUGGUUUGCUGACUUAGAUAAAGAUGCGAGAGAAAAUGUAAACCUGACACUUUUUCUUUUCCUAACUGUAGGAGUGGGCUUUGCCACCAGGAAAGUGGCUGGGAUGGCCAAACCCAACAUGAUUGUCAGUGUGAGUGGGAUGUGAUCACCAUUAAAUCAGAAAGUACCUUCAAAAAUACUGAGAUUUCCUUCAAACUCGGCCAGGAAUUUGACGAAGUCACCGCAGAUGAUAGGAAAGUCAAGAGCACCAUAACCUUAGAUGGGGGUGUUUUGGUACAUGUGCAGAAAUGGGACGGUAAAUCAACUACCAUAAAGAGAAAACGAGAGGGUGAUAAACUGGUGGUGGAAUGUGUCAUGAAAGGUGUUACUUCCACCAGAGUUUAUGAGAGAGCAUAAGCCGCAGGACAUUGACCUGGACUGAAGUUUGCAUCAAACUCUAUGACAUACUCUUGGAUGUAUUGUUCAAAAAGAGAUUGUUAUUUUCCAUUAUUAAGCAAGCAACUGAUUUUAUCACAUGCUGAUUUUAUUCAAUAUGGUUGUAUUGGUUAAAUAAAACUUUUUGGAUUUAAAAGGUGA